UACGUAGGCAGCAAGCGUUGUUCGGAAUUACUGGGCGUAAAGAGUGUGUAGGCGGUGCUCUAAGUUUGGUGUGAAAUCUCCCCGGCUCAACCGGGAGGGUGCGCCGAAAACUGGAGUGCUCGAGUACUGGGAGAGGUAAGCGGAAUUCCUGGUGUAGCGGUGAAAUGCGUAGAUAUCAGGAGGAACACCUGUGGUGUAGACAGCUUACUGGACCAUCACUGACGCUGAGACACGAAAGCGUGGGUAGCAAACGG
rnacentral:rRNA from 1 species